GGGGCUACAGGAAACCUGGAGAGGGGCUUUGGACAAGGGCCUGUAGGGACAGGACAAGGGGAGUAGCUUUAAGUUAGCGAUGUCUGCAACUGACAAGUCAGGUGUUAAAUUCAUGGGAAUUCAAUAAGGUGACAGGAACUUGAUGUGCUGGAGUGUGACUCACUGGAUGAAAGCAAGCAAAAGCUCCAUAAAAAUGUGUUUUAUCACAUGGAUUAAAAUGUUUCUGAAGAAGCAUCUGUUAAAGCAGAUGCUGCAGUAUUUUUCUUUAAUUGCCAUUGGUCCAACAAUUAAUCUGCCUCUGACAGGUUUUCCAGAACACACAAUCCUCCAAGAAAUCCAAGCUUAUGAAUCAGAGUCAAAACCUGGAAACAACAACAAGGUGGAAGUUGGGCCCCUGUGGAGAAUUCCGUUUGUCUCUGACUGCACACUCAAGGGUGGAGUUUGUGCUGCAGAAGUUAUAAACCUGGCAAGUUUGUUUCCAAGCAAAUGAUGUAUUUUUGUGGUUUGCUCCCACCUACCACUUGCAUGUAAAAGGUGUGGAGUCAUUUUGCUUUCACUCUGUUCAUAUGAAAGGUUAGUUACCACCUUAUGCCAAUAGAAGGGAUGGUGGGUGGGUGGGUUUUGUGUGUGUGUGUGUGAUGGAUUUGGGGAUUUUCUAGGUUUUGUACAUCACUGGCUCGGCUGUAUGGCUGCUUGCCUUGUGUUUUACCCACUGAAGCUUCUGGGAAUCUUUCAUCAGUUAUUUUUAAAGAGCUCUCAUAGGCAUCACUGGGAUUCAAAUAUUCAAUGUUCGCUGAGGGUAAGAACAUCUCUACAGCCCCUUCCCCAUAGAUAGUGAGGUUUUUGAUACUAAUCAGCUGCAUGGUGGGGGUUUGUCCUCAGGCUAAUCCAACUCAGAAGAUGGAUUAGCAGAAUAAUGAAUACAUAAACCCCAACAAACCACCCACCACAACAAUUUAUAGAUAAUUUUAAGCACAAAUGAUAAAGAAUUUUGGACUUAGGAGAAGUGAAGUAUUUUAAUUAUCUGUUAUCAUGGGUGGACCCAACUUUUCUGAUGUCCAGGUCCCCAGGCACUGGAAAAUGAAUUCUGGUUUGUUAUGACCAGAGUAAAAUGAUCAGUGAGAUAUGACUCCUACCGAAAACAUACAGUAUUGAAAGUUCAGGCAAUUUAAGGUUAAAAGUUUUUAGAUGACCAAACCAUUAAAUUAACCUUUUAGUUCCAAAGAAUGACUUGAGGAAAAUUCCUUGAGAGUUCUUUAACUCUUUGCUUUUUUGAGUCUCCUCUGCUAUCAUAAGGGUGACAGCAAAGAAGAGCUUUGUCUCUAUCCUUUGCACAUCCAAAACGGCACGGAGCAAAGCAGCAUUACUACUGGCUGUCAUUAAUGCUCCUAGUUGGAAUAUCAGCUUCCAGCCAGCAGUGUCUGCAUGUUAGCAUGGGAGGGAACAUGUAGGGCAAUCUGUACACCUCUCACUGACAGUUUUACGUUGUGCCUUGUGUGAGAUCUGUUGCUGUUAGUCAUUGCUGGCAGGUGGUAAUUUCGGCUCUAACUAAAGCAUAAAGCAACAGGGGAGAGUUUCCCUGUGUCUUUGGCGGAGUUUGAGGUGGGAUGUGCUCAGAACCCCUGUAGAUGGUGCUCACUGCAUCUUUUUCAGGGGAAAACCAAGGUCAGCUGGACAGAACAUUGAGACAAUCUGGUACAGAAUGUCUUCAGUUAGUUGUUUAAUACCAGGUAAUGUCUAAACCAUAUUGUAGCCAGGAUACCUAUACUUGUAACUUAAUCUUUUGAUCUGUGCAAUUUCCUUUAAGGCUUCUCAGAAUUGCUUUCUAUGCAAGAAGUUAUGGAAGAUUAAACAGUUCUUGCUUAACAGUUCAUGUCCUAGCUCUGAAUAUGCGCAACUUCACCCCAGUUGUUUUGUGGAGGAAAAAAGGGUAAGAUUAAUUUAUUUUUUCAUGGAGGAAAUCUUUGGCAUGCUAUUUUUGGCAUGGUAGAGGAGCUUUAAAAGGAAUUGGAGUUCCCCAGGCAGCUGUUAGCCAAAAUGUCUCUUUGGAAACUUUGCUCUCACCUAGCUCUGUAGGGAUUUAACUCAGUAGGUAAUGAAAAUCUGAUUAUUUUUGCAGAACAGACAAAACAAAAAUGGGGCAUUCACUGAUGAGGUGUGGAAUAGCAUGUCAGGGUUGACUCCAGAACAUAGACAUGGUGAUUCAAUCCUCAGUACCACUGCUGAGGUCAAGUACAGCCGCCUUAGCAAUUGGAAAGUGAUACUACCAAAAUAAAGCAGUUCUCCUUUCGCCAUAAGAGGGAAAAUAGCAGAGGUAUUCAUAGACCCAGCAUCCACUAUGGCUCAGUUUAUGAUCACUGAAGCCAAAUUACUGGUGGAACUGCAAAACAUUUGGGCACCAGAAGGGUUCUGGUGUUGGGUAGAGAUGACUUCAUCUUGGAUUUCAAAUAAAUGUUGAAGUGGUAUUUCUUAGGAUGCUGAUGACUCGCCGUUAGAUGCAUCUGUUUCAUGAUCUGAAACCUGACUGCUCCCCCUGCUUCCUAGGAAACCUUUAUUCCUGAUAUCUGCUGAAUAAAUUACAAAUAAAAAG
ensembl:lncRNA